UAGAGUUUGAUCAUGGCUCAGAUUGAACGCUGGCGGCAUGCCUUACACAUGCAAGUCGAACGGUAACAGGUUAAGCUGACGAGUGGCGAACGGGUGAGUAAUAUAUCGGAACGUGCCCAGUCGUGGGGGAUAACUGCUCGAAAGAGCAGCUAAUACCGCAUACGACCUGAGGGUGAAAGCGGGGGAUCGCAAGACCUCGCGCGAUUGGAGCGGCCGAUAUCAGAUUAGGUAGUUGGUGGGGUAAAGGCCCACCAAGCCAACGAUCUGUAGCUGGUCUGAGAGGACGACCAGCCACACUGGGACUGAGACACGGCCCAGACUCCUACGGGAGGCAGCAGUGGGGAAUUUUGGACAAUGGGCGCAAGCCUGAUCCAGCCAUGCCGCGCGCGGGAAGAAGGCCUUCGAGUUGUAAACCGCUUUUGUCAGGGAAGAAAAGGUUCUGGUUAAUACCUGGGACUCAUGACGGUACCUGAAGAAUAAGCACCGGCUAACUACGUGCCAGCAGCCGCGGUAAU
rnacentral:rRNA from 1 species